GCUGGGCACAGUGGCAUAUGCCUGUAAUCUCAGCAAUUUGGAAGCUGAGGCAAGGGGAUUAGCAAGUUCAAGGCCAGCCUGGGAAACUUAGCAAGACCCAGUUUCUU
rnacentral:sRNA from 1 species